UAUAAUUAAAAGAUUUUGGAAUAGUAAUUAUUAUGAAAUUUAACUGAUUUGGCGGCAAAAUAGCCAUUUAGAGGAACCUGCCCUGUAAACGAUGAACCACGAAAUACUCUACUUUUUUUNGUAAACAGUUUGUAUACCUCUGUUGUCAGUCAGUUUUAUAAGAAAACUUUCUCUAAUGAUAAGAUCAUAAACUUCAAGUAAAGGUGCAGCUUAUAUAAAAGAUAGAGGUGGGUUACAUUUAUAAUGAUUAAAACGGAUAAAGAUUUUUGAAAAAACUUUUGAAGGUGGAUUUAAAUGUAAAGUUUAAGCAAACUUGAUGUGAGCUCUAUUUUGU
rnacentral:rRNA from 1 species